rnacentral:snRNA from 9 species
AGACUUACCUGGCGUAGGGAUACCGUGCAUCAUGCAGGCGGUUCCGUAAGGGUGAAGCUGCUCCAUUGCACUGCGGAGUGGUUGGUCGUUGACCCUUGCGAUUAUUCUUAUUGAUUUAUAAGUUUAACUUCUACCGGGCGUGACUUGCACACACACACA